GACGAACGCUGGCGGCGUGCUUAACACAUGCAAGUCGAACGGAGAGGCCCUGCUUUUGUGGGGUGCUCGAGUGGCGAACGGGUGAGUAACACGUGAGUAACCUGCCCUUGACUUUGGGAUAACUUCAGGAAACUGGGGCUAAUACCGGAUAGGAGCUCCUGCUGCAUGGUGGGGGUUGGAAAGUUUCGGCGGUUGGGGAUGGACUCGCGGCUUAUCAGCUUGUUGGUGGGGUAGUGGCUUACCAAGGCUUUGACGGGUAGCCGGCCUGAGAGGGUGACCGGCGACAUUGGGACUGAGAGACGGCGCAGACUCCUACGGGAGGCAGCAGUGGGGAAUAUUGCACAAUGGGCGGAAGCCUGAUGCAGCAACGCCGCGUGCGGGAUGACGGCCUUCGGGUUGUAAACCGCUUUCGCCUGUGACGAAGCGUGAGUGACGGUAAUGGGUAAAGAAGCACCGGCUAACUACGUG
rnacentral:rRNA from 1 species